rnacentral:tRNA from 1 species
AUAGCUCAGUGACACAGUGCCUGCCUGACAAGCAGAAUGUCCCGAGUUUGAUUCUCGGU